GACGAACGCUGGCGGCGUGCUUAACACAUGCAAGUCGAACGAAGUGGCGAACGGGUGAGUAACGCGUAAUCAACCUGCCCUUCUGCGGGGGACAACAGUUGGAAACGACUGCUAAUACCGCAUACUGUAGGAGGGGAUUGCGUCUGAUUGGCUAGUUGGAGGGGGAACGGCCCACCAAGGCGAUGAUCAGUAGGCGGUCCGAGAGGAUGAACGGCCACAUUGGGGCUGGGACAAGGCCCAGACUCCUAAGGGAGGCAGGAGUGGGGAAUCUUUCGGAAUGGACGAAAGUCUGACGGAGCAACGCCGGGUGAGGGAUGACGGGCUUCGGGUUGUAAAGCUCUGUUAGUCGGGACGCGGUACCGGAAUAGAAAGCCACGGCUAACUACGUGCCAGCAGCCGCGGUAAUAC
rnacentral:rRNA from 1 species